ensembl:lncRNA
UUAUAUUCUGAUACAAUUAACAUUAAGAAUUACUUUUGUUAGCAGUGUAAUCUGGUAUUCAAUUGUGAUUGACAAUGUUCUCUACAGUCAAAGAGAGAACAGGAGAAUCUUUCAGAGAAAGGGAGACUCUUGAAAAAAUGUGUGAAGAACUUCAUAUAUCUCCCAAGACAAUGUUUUACAAAUUUUUGAGAAAAAUCCAGUGGCUCCUGAAUUAUGUCCCUAUGGUAUCAUUUUAAAACUACCAGGUCACACAAUGUUAUAAUUCAAUAACUGCUAAUAACAUAGUAAGAGAUAAAUGGUUGGUGAAGAUGAAAAUAGUUCUUAAUUUUUUUUUUAUUGUGUAUGUCAACCUUUCUUUGCUGCAAUUAUAUCUGGGCUGUUUUUCCAUUUUGAGGCUAAAUGCAAAUUCAGAUUAUAAAUUAUUCCUUCUAAAGAACACGUACUGGAUAAAGAAAAGUUUAAAAUAGUGUGUCUUAGCAGUUAUUUUCUUUUGUAAACAGGAUCAACACAAACAGUGCUGUCAGACGAUGAUGAUUAAUGGUCGAAAACACUAUAGAUCUGCAUUAUGUAAUGCAUCUCAUAUCCUUGAAAUGAGGAUUGUAAUUUGUCAUUGUUGUCUAGAGUUAAAAUUACAACAGUUGGCACAGUAUAGACUUACAGAUUGAGAAAUUUGAAGAGAUAAGAAAAGAAAAGAAUGCAUAUUUUCAGUGAAGACAUCUGUGUGGUUCUAUACAGAAUUUUUAUACAACUGAGCUGAAAAAGAGCAAAGAGAACUUUGUAAGAUUUUUCCAUUCUCCUUUGUCUUACCUACUCUUAUUGUCUGUCAAUUUCUACUUAUUUCUGUCAUUUUUGUGUCCUGCUUUCACCUGCAUCUCACUCAAGCCUCCAAUGACAGUUUCAGCAGCAAUUUUCAUGGGAGCUGUGAGCUUGCCAGUGGGGGCUUUCAGAUCCAAGGAGAAGGGAAUACCAUUUGUGUAAAGGCAUCUCAGGUACUGUGGCUUCAGGCUUUGCCAUCAGAAGACUUUGGUGUGAUUGUGAUGGUUUCAGCUAGGACAGGGUUAAAUUUUUGCGGUAGCUGGGAAGGUGGGUGUUAUCCCAUACCACCCCAUAUCACUGCCAGGGGUGGGGAAAGGGACUCCUGCUUCCCAGAAAAGGGUGUUCCUUCAGGUGGAAAAAACAUGACAGAUGGGUGCAAUGGUUCAGUAUUCAUAUUUUGUUGAGGGUUUCUCUGUGUUUCCAUUUUUUUUUGUCUUAUACCUUUUGUUUUUAAUAUUGUUGCUGUUACUGUUCAUAUUCUUACCUCAUUGCUGUUUCCAGUAAAUUGUUCUUAUCUCAACCUGUGAUCUUUGUCUUUUGGACCUGACUUUGAGUGUGGGGGGAGGGAGAAAUGUAUGGUCUUUUUAGUGGGGAGUACUAAACUGGAGAAUAAUUUUCCUAAACCAUAACAGUGAUCCAGAAACAGCUUCACCUCAGACUUUUUUUAUAUAUAUAUUUAUAUAUAUAUUUUUAUAUAUAUCCUGGAUAACAAUCUCAAUGCAGACAAGAUACUGAAACUAAAAAGCUAAAAUAGAUUUAGCAGUAGAGGACAUGUUGAAAAGGUAAAAAAUGGAAAUUAGAAGAAGGACAAGGAGAAAAAGGAAGAAGGUGAAACAAAUGGAAAAAAGGGGAAGACUUAUCCCUUCCUGGUAAGGCUGCAAAAAAACUGAUGAUUAUUUAACACCAGAUUUGAUUUCAUCAUAACUACUAAGUUCUUGACUUGAGCUCUGAAUCCCCAUGUAGUUAGAUGGAACAAUAAGGUGUAACAGGUGACCAUAAGCCAGCUAUGUGCAGAGCAGUGUAUUCAUCUUAGCUGGCAUGAGACUUUUUGAUAAAACCAUAUUUCAUAUGCAUCUUCCCAAAGAAAAACUGCCCUAAGAGAUAAUUUCUCAAACACUGAAAAAUAAGGAAGUGUCAGAGUUGAACACAUUGGCAAAUCUUUAUUCCCUUAUUAAAUUAUGACACUAGCUUUAGUUAUACAAUCAUAUGCAUUUUUCUCCUUGACCCCUGCUUCAUUAUGUGCAAAGAAUGAGCUUUUUAGUGUAUUCUUUAGCCUCACUCAGCAUGAGGUCUAUAUACUUUCCACUAUUAAGUGUUUUAUCUGUUAGGACAGCCGUACAUUUCCUGCUGGCUUGUAUUGUGACUCUCAUAGCACACGUGUUUCACAAACAUUUCUCCACAUUUCUCUGAAAGAACAGUUUUAUCAUCUCUUCCCUACAGCUGGGAAACUCAAGCUGUACAACACAAAUAUCUGAGAAUUCAAGCUAAUCCAUCUGAGUAGUACACAAUGAGUUACAUUUCAUAUUUUUAAAGGGCAGUUCCCAGUAGCUUCAGAUAUAGUCGUGAAUGUUUAGCAUUUCUCUGAAUCAGUCUGUGAAAUCUCAAGCUGGACAAUGAAAAGAGAGAAAAAAAUAACCACCUGGGAAAAAUGUGAUUAAAGAAAGUUGCCACACAGGAACUUUGCUGUGGAGACUGACUGCAGUUCUCAAAAGCUGCUUCUCUCUAGUGAUAGUCCUUUGUAUUUCCCUACAGCACCAGAGCUCUUUGAUAAGAAGUGUCAGCAACCUUGAUAACUAGCAGUGCUGUUGACACAUCCCAGAUAAUAAAAUGUGAUCUUUGCUCA